GACGAACGCUGGCGGCGUGCCUAAUACAUGCAAGUAGAACGCUGAAGGAGGAGCUUGCUUCUCUGGAUGAGUUGCGAACGGGUGAGUAACGCGUAGGUAACCUGCCUGGUAGCGGGGGAUAACUAUUGGAAACGAUAGCUAAUACCGCAUAAGAGUAGAUGUUGCAUGACAUUUGCUUAAAAGGUGCAAUUGCAUCACUACCAGAUGGACCUGCGUUGUAUUAGCUAGUUGGUGGGGUAACGGCUCACCAAGGCGACGAUACAUAGCCGACCUGAGAGGGUGAUAGGACACACUGGGACUGAGACACGGCCCAGACUCCUACGGGAGGCAGCAGUAGGGAAUCUUAGGCAAUGGACGGAAGGCUGACCGAGCAACGCCGCGUGAGUGAAGAAGGUUGUCGGAUCGUAAAGCUCUGUUGGAAGAGAAGAAAGAGGGUGAGAGUGGAAAGUUCAAAAUGUGAAGGUAUCUUACCAGAAAGGGAAGGCUAACUAAGUG
rnacentral:rRNA from 1 species